GGGGCCGUGGUGGAAUGGUAGACACGCAACUUUGAGGGGGUUGUGAGCGUAUGCUCGUGUGCGUUCAAAUCGCAUCGGCCUCACCA
rnacentral:tRNA from 1 species